GGAGACUGUUGUCAGUUGUAUGCUCCUCUUAAAUCACUAUUCUUAACAGGCAGUAAGAUAUGCCAAGUGUAGAUAUUCAAAGAACCUCGGAUGCGGGAUUGGAACAGAGCCGAGAAUCCUGAGAAACAAGAGGAAAAAAUCCACAGCACCAGCCACAGCUCGUAGAAAGUAAAAACAGGUAGCUGAUAAAAGAAAAAGAGACGGUAAGAGUUCAAGAUUGAAGAAUCAGCCCUCCCAAGGUGAAAUUGCUUCAGACUUACUCCAAAGAGGUGGCAGAAGGAACUAGCCUGAGCUAAGCAGAAGCAUCUCUGAAGCAAGAAUCCAAGUUGAUGUCUAAGGUGAACACUACACUAAAUUGCUGCAGUGGAAUUGCUGCCUUUCUCACUGAUUAUUUUGAGUUCCUAAUAAAAUAUUCUCCUUUGAAAGUAAAGAGGUUGAAGAAAACAGGUUGAAGUAAAAGGAACAUUAUAUUCGGAGGAAGUAAUACAGAAAGGAUACCAACCAGGGUAGCCAUG